CAGGAAUGGGCUGGGGCGCGUUUGUAGUUGGGAUUCCUGAGCCCGGGCUGUUGCUUGGAGGACUCUGGAGCAGCAGUAGAUUUCGGCGUUACCAGGAGAGCUAUGUAUAGGAAUGCCGCUAUGGAAAGACAUCCAGGACACCUUGUUAAGUGAAAAAAGGUUCAGUAUCUGAACACUUUUGCUAAAGGUCUCUGGAAAGCUCCCUGUGUUAAUUCUGGAUGAGACUAUGUCUGUGUCGGCUGCUUCCUGAGCCUCCUUCCAUGUGCAUAGGCCUGCUGCAUGCUGGAGACCCGCGGCACAGCUGCCAAAUGCCCCUGUGUGGCUCUGUGAUCUUGGGACAGUCACUUCCUCUCUGUGGUUGUCAGUCUUCUCAUCCCUAAGAUGGAAUAAGAAGGCCUACCUCAUUGGGCUCUUGUGGGUGAGGAGAACUGAAGAGUCUGAGAGCGCGGCACGAGCCAGAGGCUACGGAAAACACUGCCCUCCCACACUCCACCUUGGAGAGACCCAGAAAAGAACAAGCUUCAUUUGAAAAAAAGGAAAACAGCUCAGGCAAUGGGGGUGGCUUAAAGGCACUCUACAGUGUGCAGAUGCCUUCCACUUCUUCCAUCUGCCCUGUCUCUCCAAGAACCCCUAUGGCCCCAGGCUCAGAACCGAGCUGAGUGCAGAAAUGAAAAUCUAUGGCUCUGUGUUCCAAAACGAUGAAGAAUUUCAAGAUGGUGGCAGUGGUAAAAUCCUCCUCCAGGAAAAAUCUGUCCGUGGCCCAAUGUGUAAACACUUGCUGAGGAACUUGGAGUAACUUGCAGUGUCUUGCAGUAUUAUGAAACCAG
rnacentral:lncRNA from 1 species